GAAAAAAAAAUAGUUAUCGAUAGAAUACACUAUCUCAUUGCUUAUGACCUUGAUAUCAUAUUUUUUAUCUUCUAAAAUAAAACUUUAAAAACAUAUAAUUUCUUAUCUAUUUAAUUAUUAAGUAUUCACUAUUAACACAUUAGGUUUACUAAUCUAAUAAUUUACAAUCUAAUUCUAAUUAUUGUAAUGGAUACGUAGGCAUAUCUUUUACAUUCAAUGUUGAAUAUAAAUGAUUUGUUCAUUUUGUAUGUAACUAACGACAAAGAGGCAAAACAUUCUUGGCUAUGAUUUAUAAUACAUAUUUUUCUUGUGGCGUAUUAUUUAUACUUUUUAUAAUAUCUAUAUAUUUCAUAUCAUCCUGGUUAAAGUAUUUAAAAGUAAACUAAUUAUAAUUUCUUCUCUUUGGUAAAUAUUUUUAUGUAGAUAUAUUUUGCCCAUCUUAACGUAUAUCUUAGAAUAUUUUAUAAAGAAAUUGAGCAUAAUUUGUCAAUCAAUUUGAUUUUUUAAAACUGUUUGAAAAUUUUCAUUAAAGUUAUAUGUAAUGGAGCUUAAUUUUUAUGGUAAAUAAUUUUAAACGCGUAUUAUAUAUACAUAUAUAAACUAAUUUUAAUAUUUUUUUCUAUUUUUCUAUAUUUUUGUGGUAUGAUAACGUACAAAAUUUUAAGACUUAUAUUUUCAUAAUAAUGUAAGCAUGAUUUUUUGUACAAUUUAAAAGAUUACUCUUAGAAUUUCAAUUAUAUUCUGUGGAAUGUUAAUAAUAAUUAGGAAAUUAAAUAUAAAAUUAAACCUUUUUUUGAUAGUUUGAAGUGUAUUAAGUUAUUGUUUAGAAGCCUUGAAAAGAUAAAAAUACUUUACAGUCUGUAUCACAGACAUUUUAAUGAAAUACUGAUUAUUACUACUAGAAUAUAUAUUCUAAUUCAAUGUUAUAAAAUAAAUUUUUAGAAAUUAAAUAAUCAACUUAUUGAGAGAAAAAAAAAUAUAGUUGUUAAAUAGAUGACUCUUCUAAUUAAAAGUUUUCCCAUUAAUUUUACUUUAUUAAUCUUAUUUUAAAUAGACUUUGAAUUGAUAUAUAUAACACGUCGUUACCUGUAAUAUAUCACGUAAUCUUUCUUCUAAAAAGAAAAAGAAAAAAGCCCAAAAUCAUCUUGUGGUUAGCCUAAUAAGUCAAUCAUACCAACUGCUAUUUAUAUCUUAAGUAAUACCAGACGAUAAUUGUUAUUAAUUCUCCACGAUUUUAAAAAUAAAUUACAUAUAUAUAUAUAUAUUUCAUAAUAUUAAAAUCCUUCAUAGUAUUUUAUUCAAUGCUUUAUGAUAAUAACGCUUAGUAAUAUAUCAUAAGCGUAGCUAUACAUUUGUAUUUCUAUAUAUUUAUUCAUAAAAAUAAUAAAAUGGCCAAUAUAUACAUAUAUAUAUACAACGACUACGGGGAACAGCAAGAAAUCAUAUUCCUGUCAUUUUGGAAACGGAGCUUAAGUAUAUCAUAAUUCAUAACUUAUUACUUCGUUCAUUAAUCCUAAGUAACACAUUAUGAAAUAGCCAUGAUGUAACAAGUGAGACGAAAGAAUCGACAGCUGACUACUAAAUACAUAGGGUAUUUUUGUGUUGUCGAGGUAACACCGUGAUAUCCGUAGGUAUUAUUUGGUAUUAAAUACGUUAUUUGUAGAAACAAAACAUUCAACAUUAUUACAAAAUUAUUAUUAAAAAUAUUUUAUUGAAGAAAAAAAAAAAAGAUCAAAAUUUCAUUCUUAAAACAUUAAAAAAAAAAACUUAAAAAAAAAAAAAAGAUUAACUGUUUAAAAAAUCAAUUUCUGCAUCAUCUGCCCUAACCAAUUAUACAAUCAAACGGGCUCUCACAUCAUUAUUUAGGUGCAUUCAUAAAUGGGGCAUGUACAUAGUUCCCUUUUAUUAGUCUAAAACUAAGCGACAGAUUGUCGCCGUCUUGCAUCAAAAUAAUACAACUCUCUGUAUAAUAUUAUAUCUAAUAUAAAAUACAGAUAUAUGUUAUUCACUUAGAUGCUUCUGUGAAUAUUUUCCUCAUCAUGUGCCAUUUUUUUAAAACAAGCUAGACACUGUCACACCCCCUUGAGGACAAUAUUUUUUUUUUUUAGUUUAGUCAUGCCCUAUAGUAUCUUAACUCAAUUUUUUAAGAUAGUCUUACUCUGUUUAGUUAUUAUUACUUUAAAAAAGUUCUUUAGAUUGAGUGUGCAAGCAUUUUUAGAAAUGAUAUAGGUUGACAUAAACAAUCAACUUUAGUAUUUCUACGUUGGUAAGAUUUUAUCAGAUGAGGGGUUUAAUUAAUUAUUCAACCAAACACUUUUUAUUUGGGAAUCUAUCUCAUGGAUUCAUGAAAAAGUUUUGUUUGCCUAGAGGAAUCCACCAAAUCAUCUCCUUACCACCGUUUUCUUGUUUCUUCGAACAAAUUUCCUAGAAUCAGUUUGUUAUGUAACCAAAAACUCAUUCAUGAAGAUAAAGAAGAGUAUAUAUCGUUUUGGAUCAAGAACUUUGAAGAUAAUAUAAAAAUAAUAAAUUAAUGAAUUUCUCUUUUUACACUUAUAGACGGAUCAUUAACCUAAGGGGAGUUUGAAAAAGUCUUAACUUGCAAUGAUUAAUUUGCUAAAAUUGAGGAUUUUGUGUUUGUUAUUAUUCCAUUCAUAAAAUCAUCUUACUUAAAAAAAAAUCAUGAUUUGUAAACUUAACUAAGGGUUAAUCUGAAUAAAUACUUAAAUAAUUACUUUUGAGGUAUAUAAUUAUAAUGAUUAUAUAUUUUUUUAAAUAUUGAAUUUUACAAAAAUGUUUUUUGUUUUUUUUUAAUAUUUUACGCAAAUUGUAUUAUUACACUCUUUGUGUUAGCCUUACUAUUUAAAAAAAAAUACACUUUUGAGCCCUAGACCUGUAUAAUGCACUACUGUCUAAAUAAGUAUGUUAAACCAAUUUUAUUUUAUCCUAUUUUAAUAAAAUUACUUAAACUUUUAAGGGUAUAGCUUCUGCGAAGUCUUAUAAAAUCGAGUUCUCACAUUUUAAUAAACCAAUUUUUAAAGAAGUAAAUAAUUGAAUUUGAAAAGGAACUGCUUCAUUAUUACAAUAAAAAUCUAAAAUAUUUUAUAAAUUAAUUAUUUGUAUUUUUAUAAUUAAAAAAAAACGAUUUUAUUAAAUAAUAGUAGUUAUUUUUCAUGUAAGCAGUAAUGAAUAUUUACAAUGUAUCAAUACAUUUUGAUAUUUCUCUUUUAUCAGUAGUACGAUAUAUCUUAUCCAAGUUUUUCGAUUAUAAAUUUGCUUAACAUUUUUUCAAAUUUCUACAAAUGUUAUCGUGAAUACAGUGUACAUUUCCCCAGAAAUUAUAUUUGUAUUUUAACGGAAAUUGUUGGAAAAUUUGUAUUCUUCUUUGAAAAUUUUAUUUAUGAACUCUUACACAUCUCUUUACAGAGUAGUGGCGGCAGCAAAUAAAGAUUGAUGGUUUUCCUUAUUUACAUAUAAUAAUUAAUUUUUGGCAGAUAUCAUUUUUCCGAAUUUAUUUACAGAAGUUUCUUAUGCAUGAAACAAUUAUAUAUAUAAGAUUUCUGAUAUGGGAGAGAGGGCGCUUACGUCUGUAAAAUAUUUUAAAGAAUUGAGAAGAGGUUUUUAGGCGUAUAAAGGAUAAGUCUAAUUGGGCCUAAAUUGUUUUUAAUUACUUUUAUCUAUUAAUAUUUAUCCUUGAGAUUC
rnacentral:lncRNA from 1 species